rnacentral:lncRNA from 1 species
AUCUUAAAGAAUUGGCGUGGAAUCUUUUCAAGGAGAUGAAAGAUGCUGGUUGUUCUCCCGAUGUUUAUACCUAUAAUUUAUUUCUUGAUGAACUUGGUAAGUCGGGGAAGAUUGAUGAACUUUUUGAGCUGUACGAGGAAAUGCUCCACAGAGGAUGUAAGCCGAUCACGAUAACUUACAAUAUUCUCAUUUCUGGUUUGGUGAAGUCUAAUAAAGUAGAGAGAGCAAUAGAUUUGUACUAUGAUCUUGUAAGUCUAGGCGUUACACCUACUCCUUGUACAUAUGGUCCUCUCAUAGAUGGGCUAUUGAAGGUUGAAAAUUUCGACAAAGCAAAGGACUUCUUUGAGGAAAUGGUGGACUAUGGAUGCAGACCUAAUUGUGCUAUCUACAACAUUCUCAUAAAUGGGUUUGGGAAAGCAGGUGAUCUUGAAGCCGCUUGUGACCUCUUUAACAGAAUGAAGAAAGAAGGAGUUAGACCGGAUUUAAAGACUUACACCAUUCUUGUAGAUUGCCUAUGCACUGCAGGGAAGGUGGACGAUGCUCUGCACUACUUUGAGGAACUGAAGUCAGCUGGCCUUGAUCCUGAUUUGAUUUCUUACAACCUUAUGAUCAACGGAGUCGGGAAGUCUGGUAAAAUGAAGGAAGCAUUGUAUCUUCUUGAUGAGAUGCAAAGCAGAGGAGUUACCCCAAACCUUUAUACCAUAAUUCCUUAAUACUCAAUCUUGGGAUUGCUGGAAUGUUGGAGGAGGCCGGAAAGAUGUAUGAAGAACUUCAGCGGCUGGGUCUUGAACCCAAUGUUUUUACAUAUAAUGCUCUUAUUAGAGGGUACAGCAAGUCCGGUGAUCCGGAUGGUGCAUAUGCCGUUUAUGAGAAGAUGAUGGUUGGGGGUUGUAGCCCCAAUACUGGGACUUUUGCUCAGCUACCUAAUUAAAGCCGGUCCCUUCUUUAGGUUCUUCUUUCAAAGUGAGGCUUCUGAGAUUGAGUUCCUAAACUCCACCUCGGGCUGCUAAGGUAUUUCUGUGCAUGCUAAAUAUUCAGGCGAGCCUGCUGAAGAAUUUAAAUUAUUUCUGUGCAUGCUAAAUAUUCAAAAUAUGCUUGCCAAAAGAAGUUUUUCAAGGCAUAAUUGCUAUAUUUUCUUGUUCCUCAAAUCAUCGCGUACCCUCCUCUCCAAUUUUUGGUGUUUCCUUUUCCAUUACAGAACAACAAUACGUACAAGCUAGAAGUUAUUAUCUUGUCAAAAAUGAUAGUUAGCUUGGCUAAACUGUUAACCUUAAUUUCCUUUUCUUUUCUGCAGGGCUUACUUCUGCUGAUCGGACGUUGUUAUUUAAAAAGAGAGGUAGAGUUUAUUCACUUGUCUGCAGCUCUUAGAUGUGUGCCAGGUUUGUUAGGCUCUGCUGUGCACCUCAAAGGCUUCGGAAUUCAUUUGUAAGGCGCUCUGUAAAUUCCAAAAUGUCUAUAUAAAGUGUCAAUAUUUGAUUGUUGUAGGUUUAUCCCUGUGCAUCUUGUAAGAAUAGUCAACAGUCUUAGCAAUAACUGUAGCAUCUCUUAUGCUUGGUCAGAAUACAUGGUUCCAAACUGUAGAUAACCAGCCAAUGUGGAGGGAAAACUCUUACUAAAGUUUUGAUUCGUUCUUCGAUUUGCAAUGUUAGUCUUGCCAAGAAAUGUAGAGAUCUCCCUACAUUGUGUUUUAAAGUGUACCAACUGCUGUUCCAAUGUAUCUCUUAUCAUCGAUUCAAUUCAGUUUUUCGAUUCAACUUACA